rnacentral:rRNA from 1 species
AACGGGAUUUUCUUUGGUAGCAAUACCGAAGAAAAUCUAGUGGCGAACGGGUGCGUAACACGUGGGCAAUCUGCCUUAAAGUGGGGGAUAGCUCGGCGAAAGCCGGAUUAAUACCGCAUGUGAUUACCGGAGAAUUCUUCGGAACAUCAAAGUCGGGGCAACCUGACGCUUUUUGAGGAGCCCGCGGCCUAUCAGCUAGUUGGUGAGGUAACGGCUCACCAAGGCUUUGACGGGUAGCUGGUCUGAGAGGACGACCAGUCACACUGGAACUGAGACACGGUCCAGACACCUACGGGUGGCAGCAGUCGAGAAUUUUUCUCAAUGGGGGAAACCCUGAAGGAGCGACGCCGCGUGGAGGAUGAAGGUCUUCGGGUUGUAAACUCCUGUCAUUUGGGAACAAUGCUUACGUAUUAACUGUACGUGAGUUGAUAGUACCAGAAGAGGAAGAGACGGCUAACUCUGUGCCAGCAGCCGCGGUAAUACAGAGGUCUCAAGCGUUGUUCGGAUUCAUUGGGCGUAAAGGGUGUGUAGGUGGCGCGCUAAGUCGGGUGUGAAAUUUCGGAGCUUAACUCCGAAACUGCAUUCGAUACUGGCGUGCUUGAGGACUGGAGAGGAGACUGGAAUUCAUGGUGUAGCAGUGAAAUGCGUAGAGAUCAUGAGGAAGACCAGUGGCGAAGGCGGGUCUCUGGACAGUUCCUGACACUGAGACACGAAGGCCAGGGGAGCAAACGGGAUUAGAUACCCCGGUAGUCCUGGCAGUAAACGGUGCACGUUUGGUGUGGGAGGAUUCGACCCCUUCUGCGCCGGAACUAACGCGUUAAACGUGCCGCCUGGGGAGUACGGUCGCAA